rnacentral:rRNA from 1 species
GGAGUAACUAUUGGAAACGGUAGCUAAUACCGCAUAACAGUAGAUAUCGCAUGAUAUUUGCUUGAAAGGUGCAAUUGCACCACUACCAGAUGGACCUGCGUUGUAUUAGCUAGUUGGUGAGGUAACGGCUCACCAAGGCAACGAUACAUAGCCGACCUGAGAGGGUGAUCGGCCACACUGGGACUGAGACACGGCCCAG